rnacentral:rRNA from 1 species
AUUAGUUUUUUAAUUGAAGGCUAAAAUGAAUGGUCGGACAAAAAAUAAUCUGUCUUAAAUUAAGAUAUUGAAUUUAACUUUAAAGUGAAAAGGCUUUAAUGAUCUGGUGGGACAAUAAGACCCGGGAAAGCUUUAUAUUUUAAGGUGGAAAUUAAUUUUAUUUUAAAGUUACUAUUUUAAAGUAUUUUGUUGGGGCGACAAGGAUAUAAUAAAAGGUAACUGUCUUUUAUUCUUACAAUAAUAUUUGGUUUAUUGAUCCUAAAAGGGAUUAAAGAUUAAGUUACUUUAGGGAUAACAGCGUAAUUUUCUUUAAGAGUUCUUAUCGACAAGAAAGUUUGCGACCUCGAUGUUGAAUUAAAGGUUCUUUAUAGAGUAGAGACUAUAAAAGAAGGUCUGUUCGACCUUUAAAAUUUUACAUGAUUUGAGUUCA